rnacentral:rRNA from 1 species
UUGAUUGAUAAAUUGUUGAGUUUUGGUGUUUUAGGUUUAUUUGCCUUUUGCGUCAUGCUUGGUGGAUUUUUAUAAGUUAUCUUUAUAAUCGAAUGGUUUAGAUCUUAAUUUCAGUUGUUAGGAAUGUAUAUUUUUAGUUGAGUAAAUUAAAAUAGAUUGAUUUUAUGAUGUGAUAAGUUAUUCGUUAAAUUUUAUUUCUAUUUGGUCACUUAGAAUUCUGAGUUACGUGGUAGGUUGGAAGAUUUAUCACGCUGUUAUACUAUUUAUUGAUGUUUAUUAAGAUUAGGUUAAAAGUACCUAUUUUUUGUAAAUUUGUUAUGAAAGAUGGUUAUUUUAUAUUAUAGUUGAAUUGUAUGGUGGCUUGUUAUAAUAUGUAGUGUAUUAUUUAUCAUUAAAUUAGUAAUUAUAUUAUACUAAUUAUUUCUCAGGGUCUUUCCGUCUGUUUAUUAAAAACAUUUCCAGUUUAAAUAAUAACUGGUAGUGCCUGCCCAGUGUUGUUUUGGAAGAUAAAUGGCCGCAGUAUAUUGACUGUGCAAAGGUAGCAUAAUUAAUUGCCUUUUAAUUGGAGGCUUGUUUGAAUGGUUUGACGUGGAAGAUGUGAAUAUUUGGUAUUAAUUUGAAUUUGGUGUCAGGGAUACAGAAUUUCUGAGUAUUUAAUAAGACGGAAAGACCCUGGGAUCUUUCUUUUUUGCUUGGGGCAAGUUUUAUUGUUUUAAUAAAAUUGAGACCCUGAAUGCAGGUUAGUGGGUUAAGUUACCCCAGGGAUAACAGUGUAAUGAUUAAUGAGAGAUCUUAUCGAAUUAAUUGUUUGCCACCUCGAUGUUGACUUAGGUUAAAAUCUAGGUGCAGUAGUCUAGAUUUUUGGUCUGUUCGACCUUAUAUACCUUCAUGAGUUGAGUUAAGACCGGCGUGAGCCAGGUCGGUUCUUAUCUAUUGUAGAAGUUUAUCAGUACGAAAGGAUAGUAAACUUUUUUGUU